rnacentral:rRNA from 1 species
UACGGAGGGUGCAAGCGUUGUCCGGAAUCACUGGGCGUAAAGGGCGCGUAGGCGGCUCAUGAAGGCUGUGGUGAAAGUCCGGGGCUCAACCUCGGAUCGGCCGUGGCGACUCGUGGGCUGGAACACUGUAGAGGCGGGUGGAAUUCCGGGUGUAGCGGUGGAAUGCGUAGAGAUCCGGAAGAACACCAGUGGCGAAGGCGGCCCGCUGGGCAGUGGCUGACGCUGAGGCGCGACAGCGUGGGGAGCAAACAGG